rnacentral:rRNA from 1 species
UACGUAGGGGGCGAGCGUUGUCCGGAUUUAUUGGGCGUAAAGAGCUCGUAGGCGGUUUGGUAAGUCGGAUGUGAAAUCUCCCGGCUCAACUGGGAGGGGUCAUUCGAUACUGGCGGGCUCGAGGCCGGUAGGGGGAAGUGGAAUUCCCGGUGUAGUGGUGGAAUGCGUAGAUAUCGGGAGGAACACCAGUGGCGAAGGCGGCUUCCUGGACCGGUUCUGACACUGAGGAGCGAAAGCGUG